AUUGAACGCUGGCGGCAUGCUUUACACAUGCAAGUCGAACGGCAGCGCGGGCUUCGGCCUGGCGGCGAGUGGCGAACGGGUGGGUCAUGCAUCGUAACGUGCCCAGUAGUGGGGGAUAGCCCGGCGAAAGCCGGAUUAAUACCGCAUACGACCUGAGGGUGAAAGCGGGGGAGCGCAAGGCCUCGCGCUAUUGGAGCGGCCGAUGUCGGAUUAGCUAGUUGGUGGGGUAAAGGCUUAGCAAGGCGACGAUCCGUAGCUGGUCUGAGAGGACGACCAGCCACACUGGGACUGAGACACGGCCCAGACUCCUACGGGAGGCAGCAGUGGGGAAUUUUGGACAAUGGGGGCAACCCUGAUCCAGCCAUGCCGCGUGAGGGAAGAAGGACUUCGGGUUGUAAACCGCUUUUGUUCGGGAAGAAAUCCUGUGGGCUAAUACCCCGGGGUGAUGACGGUACCGGAAGAAUAAGCACCGGCUAACUACGUG
rnacentral:rRNA from 1 species